AUACGGAGGAUGCGAGCGUUAUCCGGAUUUAUUGGGUUUAAAGGGUGCGCAGGCGGGAGAUUAAGUCGGCGGUGAAAUUUUGCAGCUCAACUGUAAAAGUGCCUUCGAAACUGGUUUCCUUGAGUGUAGAUGAAGUAGGCGGAAUUUGUGGUGUAGCGGUGAAAUGCAUAGAUAUCACGAGGAACUCCGAUUGCGCAGGCAGCUUACUAAACUACUACUGACGCUCAGGCACGAAGGCGUGGGGAUCAAACAGGAUUAGAUACCCUGGUAGUCCACGCAGUAAACGAUGAUUACUAGCUGUUUGCGAUACAAUGUAAGCGGGUGAGGGAAGGCGUUAAGUAAUCCACCUGGGGAGUACGUUCGCAAGAAUGAAACUCAAAUGAAUUGACGGGG
rnacentral:rRNA from 1 species